rnacentral:lncRNA from 1 species
AAGCGUUGGAACCUGUGACCAGAACGCAGUGAUGAAUGGUUUUGUACUCGUAGCGUUCUAGGAUGGCUUUAACUCUUAUGCUUUUUUACUCAGAUGUGUACACUUGUAUGAGAUGAAGAAGUUUAAUAUUUUAUGACGCAAUGAAGGUCAUAUGAAUCCUUUAUUUGACCAGUGAUUCUUGCUGUCCCCCCCUCCUUUUGAAACAUACUAGUAUUUCAGCUCUAGAUAUUGAGCUAGCGGGCUAAGGGAACGUUUGGGAACGCUGCUGCAGCUGUGUUUUCAAAAAAUUUAAAUUUUUUUUUUUUUUUACUAAAAUUUAAUAUGAUUUGUAUGUUUUGGAUUGUUUUGA